GUCUAAAGGAAAAUCCGUUUCCACAUAGUUAAAACUUUUUCUGCGUAAAUAGUAUACUCUGUUACAGCUCAAGGUAUAUCUGGAACCUCACAGAAAAAUGUUUUACAUCUUAACAUUUGCUUAGUAGUCUGAAUCCCAGACUUAAGUUUUCCUUUAUUGCAGAGGAAUUCACUGUGGACACGUCUUGGUAAGACAAUCCUUCAGCUAAUGCCUGAAUGAAGCGCACCAAGACACUGGUAAUUGAGCAUGGAGUUCAUCUGAAGUAACUUUCCUAUGGAAAUUGGUGUGGGCAGUCACUGGAAGAAAGAUGUGGCUUUUGAGCUCAUCUGACGCAAAGGCAGAGGAAGGUUUCAUUGUCUUUUGACCUAUGACUACAUGGAGAAAAAUAUGUCCUUGGGCGUGUGUAAAACCUUUCUACCCCGUCAGUUUUCCUCAGGCCUGCAACAGGUCCCCAGAAAACAGGAAAUGGCUUCUUUGAGAGUCGGUUUCCUGUUGUUUCCACAUGAGGACAGAGUGCUGGAAGUCAUUUAUUGCUUCUGGUCCAGGACACAGGGUGAUCGCCUGCAGCGAUGAGGAAGGAACCAACUCUGGACUAUCUAGAUUUUAAGCCCGUCUUCUUGAUGAAUACAAAGGGAACACUUGAUCUGUGUAUGCCAACAGCCUUUUAAGGAAAGGAUAAAGAGAGGUCUGAACUGGAAGCAGGAGGAUACUUUGAUCCAAGUAAGCAAGAGGAAGAAGGGCCAUGCAUUUAUGGGGCACAAAAGCAAUUCUUUUGUGAACAAGCACCUAAGAUGAGUUUAUUGCACUGUCUUACAUAGCAGCUGUACUUCUGUUCAAUGUACUGCAGAACAUGUUUUAUUCUUCAUAAUGGUUAUUAUUUUGUCUUGUUCCCAGAUGUAUCCUUGAAGAUCACUGCUAUGCUUUUUUCACGUUUUUCUAUGAACUUCAAAGAAGCAAUUAUUUUCUAGCGAUGUUGGGGACAGGAAAAUAGAGGAGUAUUUGGGCAUUUCCAGUUAUUUUCCUUUCUUUCUUUUUUUUUUUUUUCUUUUUUUCUUUUUUUUUUU
rnacentral:lncRNA from 1 species